rnacentral:rRNA from 1 species
CACGGGGGGAGCAAGCGUUGUUCGGAAUCACUGGGCGUAAAGGGCGUGUAGGCGGUCGAGUAAGUGGGAUGUGAAAUGCUCCGGCUCACCCGGAGACCUGCAUCUCAAACUGCUUGGCUCGAGUAUGGGAGAGGAUGAGGGAAUUCCUGGUGUAGCGGUGAAAUGCGUAGAUAUCAGGAGGAACACCGGUGGCGAAAGCGCUCAUCUGGCCCAAUACUGACGCUGAGGCGCGAAAGCUAGGGGAGCAAACGGG